CCUAGAUCUCAUUAGAGGCCACUGGGAGGGGGAGACGGAGCAAGAGGGGACCCCCAUUGUGCCAUAUGUUCUGGAACUCCGGGACCGCAUGGAGAAACUGUCCCUGAUGGUAAGGGAGAAUCUCCAGGUGGCCCAGGGGAGACAGAAAAGAUGGUACGAUCAGGGUGCCCGACAGCGGGUCUUCCAGGUUGGGCAAAAGGUAUUGGUGCUCAAACCUGUGAAGGCCAACAAGAUGCAAGCAUCUUGGCAGGGCCCGUACAAGGUAGUGGCGCAGAUCUGCGACACUACUUACUUGAUAGCUAG
rnacentral:lncRNA from 1 species